GAUGAACGCUGGCGGCGUGCCUAAUACAUGCAAGUCGAGCGAACAGACGAGGAGCUUGCUCCUCUGACGUUAGCGGCGGACGGGUGAGUAACACGUGGAUAACCUACCUAUAAGACUGGGAUAACUUCGGGAAACCGGAGCUAAUACCGGAUAAUAUAUUGAACCGCAUGGUUCAAUAGUGAAAGACGGUUUUGCUGUCACUUAUAGAUGGAUCCGCGCCGCAUUAGCUAGUUGGUAAGGUAACGGCUUACCAAGGCAACGAUGCGUAGCCGACCUGAGAGGGGGGGGCGCCAACAGUGAAAGGGAGACCGGGCCCAGCCCCAUGGGGGGGGAAGCAGGAGGAAUUUUUCCGCAAGGGGAGAAACCCGGACGGGGCACCCCGGGGGGAGGAAGAAAGGUUUUGGGUUAGAAAAACUUUUUUAUGGGAAAAAAAAAAAGGGGAAAGAACUAAGGCCCGUCUGGCGGGACCAAAAGAAGAAGCCCACGCUAAACCCCGGC
rnacentral:rRNA from 1 species